rnacentral:misc_RNA from 1 species
GAUGAAGAACGCAGCGAAAUGCGAUACGUAGUGUGAAUUGCAGAAUUCAGUGAAUCAUCGAAUCUUUGAACGCACAUUGCACCUCUCGGUAUUCCGGGAGGUAUGCCUGUUCGAGCGUCAUUUGUACCCUCAAGCCCCCGGGUUUGGUGUUGGGGAUCGGCUCUGCCCUUCUGGGCGGUGCCGCCCCCGAAAUACAUUGGCGGUCUCGCUGCAGCCUCCAUUGCGUAGUAGCUAACACCUCGCAACUGGAACGCGGCGCGGCCAUGCCGUAAAACCCCAACUUCUGAAUGUUGACCUCGGAUCAGGUAGGAAUACCCGCUGAACUUAAGCAUAUCAAUAAGCGGAGGA